rnacentral:rRNA from 1 species
GAUCCUGGCUCAGAACGAACGCUGGCGGCGUGCCUAACACAUGCAAGUCCAACGUGAAAGGGGAGCAAUCCCCCGGUAGGGUGGCAAACGGGUGAGUAAUACAUGGGUGAUCUACCUUAGGGAUGGGGAUAUCCUUCCGAAAGGAGGGGCAAUACCGAAUAUUGUCCGGAGCCGUGAAGGGUUCCGGGGAAAGGGAGGCCUCUGAUACAAGCUUUCGCCUUAAGAUGAGCCCAUGGCCCAUCAGCUAGUUGGUAGGGUAAAGGCCUACCAAGGCUACGACGGGUCGCUGGUCUGAGAGGACGACCAGCCACACUGGCACUGAGAUACGGGCCAGACUCCUACGGGAGGCAGCAGUGAGGAAUAUUGCGCAAUGGGGGAAACCCUGACGCAGCAACGCCGCGUGUGGGAAGAAGGCCUUCGGGUCGUAAACCACUUUUGCACGGGACGAAAAAGGGAUAUCGAACAAAUAUCCCCGAUGACGGUACCGUGAGAAUAAGCCACGGCUAACUCUGUGCCAGCAGCCGCGGUAAGACAGAGGUGGCAAGCGUUG